rnacentral:rRNA from 1 species
UACAGAGGUGCCAAGCGUUAGGCGGAAUCACUGGGCUUAAAGCGCGUGUAGGCGGGUCGUUAAGUGUCCGAGUGAAAUCCCACGGCUCAACCGUGGAACUGCCGGGCAUACUGGCGAUCUUGAGGCAUUCAGGGGCGAGCGGAACAAAUGGUGGAGCGGUGAAAUGCGUAGAUAUCAUUUGGAACGCCAAUGGUGAAAACAACUCGCUGGGGAAGUGCUGACGCUGAGACACGAAAGCCAGGGGAGCGAACGGG